rnacentral:rRNA from 1 species
AGAGAGAGACAUGCGCGCAUAUCAAUAAGCGGAGGAAAAGAAACUAACAAGGAUUCCCUUAGUAACGGCGAGUGAAGCGGGAAGAGCUCAAAUUUGAAAUCUUCAAGGUUUUACCUUGACGAAUUGUAGUUUAAAGAAGUGUUUUCUGCUGAAGUUUUGGUAAAAGUUCUUUGGAAUAGGACAUCAUAGAGGGUGAGAAUCCCGUAUUUGACCAUUAUUUUCAGCUUUGUGAUACACUUUCAAAGAGUCGGAUUGUUUGGGAAUGCAGUCCAAAAUGGGUGGUAAAUUUCAUCUAAAGCUAAAUAUUGGCGAGAGACCGAUAGCGAACAAGUACCGUGAGGGAAAGAUGAAAAGAACUUUGAAAAGGAGAGUUAAACAGUACGUGAAAUUGUCAAAAGGGAAGCGUUUGACACCAGUGUUGUUUUCUCGAAAAUCAAUUAAAAAAUGGCAGGAUUUUGUAUGUUGUAUUGACCUUUAAUCAGCUUUCACUGCUACAUCUUUUCUUGUCUUUUUUAAUGCACUUUUCGUUUAACAAGUCAACAUCAGUUUCUUUUGUUGUAAAAGGGUCAUUGGAAGGUGGCUUUCUUUUCGGAGAAAGUGUUUAUAGCCUUUGGCCUCUGCAAUCGGAGAGACUGAGGUCUGCAGCGUAGACUCUUUGGGGUUAGAUACAUUUGUGCUAAGUUAUAGCUUCUUAUAGACAACUUGUUGACUAUAAUUAGUCUUGUAGCUUACUCGCUUAUGCUAUUUUACCUACGCUUAGGAUGUUGAGUCGUAGAGCACGCAG